rnacentral:rRNA from 1 species
GAUGAACGCUGGCGGCGUGCCUAAUACAUGCAAGUCGAACGAAACUUCUUUAUCACCGAGUGCUUGCACUCACCGAUACAGAGUUGAGUGGCGAACGGGUGAGUAACACGUGGGCAACCUGCCCAAAAGAGGGGGAUAACACUUGGAAACAGGUGCUAAUACCGCAUAACCAUAGUUACCGCAUGGUAACUAUGUAAAAGGUGGCUAUACUACCGCUUUUGGAUGGGCCCGCGGCGCAUUAGCUAGUUGGUAGGGUAAAGGCUUACCAAGGCAAUGAUGCGUAGCCGAAUUGAGAGGUUGAUCGGCCACAUUGGGACUGAGACACGGCCCAAACUCCUACGGGAGGCAGCAGUAGGGAAUCUUCCACAAUGGGCGAAAGCCUGAUGGAGCAACGCCGCGUGGGUGAAGAAGGUCUUCGGAUCGUAAAACCCUGUUGUUAGAGAAGAAAGUGCGUGAGAGUAACUGUUCACGUCUCGACGGUAUCUAACCGGAAAGCCACGGCUAACUACGUG